GAAACAUUGUAGAGAAGAAUAAAUGAUUCGAGAAGCUCCGGCUAUUAUGACAUAGAGAGCCACAGUUGCAUGCAGUUGCUCGAGUCUUCAGGAUUCUCCUGUCUGAAAGAUGAAAUUCUGUUUUUGAUUGUCCUAGUGAUUAAAGAAAGGACCAAAUCAGGCGCUCUAAAAGAUCCGCGAUGAAGACGAUUAUUCCGUUCUCGCCAAGUUUCAUAGAUAACUAGCUGCCAAGCAAGGCGAACCAGGAAAACGUGAUGGAUUGUUCCAGCAAAGUUGACGAUGGAGUGAGCGGUGUCAUGUCAUCCCAAGAAUCUGAAGCCGUGAGACCGAGCCUCGACAAUAAAGGCCUCCAGAUGUUUCUGGUGAAUGUACAUCCAAAGAAUAAAUGAUUCCGAGACUCUUGAUGGUUGUUGCAUAGCAGGCAGGAGGGGUCUGUUGCUAGUCCCCACGAGAUCAAUCGGUCCCUAGUUGGACAUCGAUCGAGUAAAAAUAACCACAGAGUUCCAGACUGGGUGAUCAAGGGAGUCCGAUAAGGUGAUAGAUGAGAGAUGGACAUGAACUUGCUCCUUCUGCCGAGUACGGAGCUGGUGAGAGGAUCCAAGAAUUGCCUGUUCCAUAGAGUUGAUACGGUUGAGGAGAGGGAGAUGCCUGACUGCCGUGGCUCAAGAGAGCCAAUGUGAUGAAUUAAGGGACCAAAUGGCAACCAUGGAGAAUGCCAGAAGCUUAUAGAGUAGCCAUUACCCGGAGUAACUUUUUGAAAAGCCAAGUGAGCUUGAACAUACAAGA